AACGAACGCUGGCGGCAUGCCUUACACAUGCAAGUCGAACGGCAGCACGGACUUCGGUCUGGUGGCGAGUGGCGAACGGGUGAGUAAUGUAUCGGAACGUACCUUUCAGUGGGGGAUAACUAUCCGAAAGGAUAGCUAAUACCGCAUAUUCUGUGAGCAGGAAAGCAGGGGAUCGCAAGACCUUGCGCUGAUUGAGCGGCCGAUAUCAGAUUAGCUAGUUGGUGGGGUAAAGGCCUACCAAGGCUACGAUCUGUAGCGGGUCUGAGAGGAUGAUCCGCCACACUGGAACUGAGACACGGUCCAGACUCCUACGGGAGGCAGCAGUGGGGAAUUUUGGACAAUGGGGGCAACCCUGAUCCAGCCAUGCCGCGUGAGUGAAGAAGGCCUUCGGGUUGUAAAGCUCUUUCGUCCGGGAAGAAAUCGCAUCAGCUAAUACCUGGUGUGGAUGACGGUACCGGAAUAAGAAGCACCGGCUAACUACGUGCCAGCAGCCGCUGUAAAAC
rnacentral:rRNA from 1 species